rnacentral:rasiRNA from 1 species
UUAUUCAAUACCAGAGUACAUAAAUCAG